UACGAAGGGGGCUAGCGUUGCUCGGAAUCACUGGGCGUAAGGCGCACGUAGGCGGUCUUUUAAGUCAGGGGUGAAAUCCUGGAGCUCAACUCCAGAACUGCCUUUGAUACUGGGAGACUUGAGUCCGGGAGAGGUGAGUGGAACUGCGAGUGUAGAGGUGAAAUUCGUAGAUGUUCGCAAGAACACCAGUGGCGAAGGCGGCUCACUGGCCCGGUACUGACGCUGAGGUGCGAAAGCGUGGGGAGCAAACAGG
rnacentral:rRNA from 1 species